rnacentral:rRNA from 1 species
UACGUAGGGUCCGAGCGUUGUCCGGAAUUACUGGGCGUAAAGGGCUCGUAGGCGGUUUGUCGCGUCGGGAGUGAAAACGCCGUGCUUAACACGGCGCUUGCUUUCGAUACGGGCAGACUAGAGGUAUUCAGGGGAGAACGGAAUUCCUGGUGUAGCGGUGAAAUGCGCAGAUAUCAGGAGGAACACCGGUGGCGAAGGCGGUUCUCUGGGAAUGACCUGACGCUGAGGAGCGAAAGUGUGGGGAGCGAACAGG